AGGUAGAUCAUCGCCAGAUCAGCCUUUGAGCUAGGAAUACAUAAAAAAGAGCUAUAAGAAGAAGACCCUUUUAGUAACAAUGUGUCACAAAAACAACUUCUAAAUGGCAAAAGGCACAGAACAUGGUGAUAAGAUGCAGCUAACACAAUGUGUGACAAUGGGGAACAUGGAUACCAUCUAAACAUAAAUGGGGGAAUAUCAGCCAUAGUGACAAUGGUAACAAGACAAUGGAACAGAGAAACACCCGUUUAAACAUAGAAGACCUCAGAGAACACAGAGAGGUCACCUCAAAUAGUAAAGUUUGCCCAUUCAGACAGUAAAAGCAUAUUCCAGAUGGUUUUAAAGUCUUCGUAGGAGCAGG